rnacentral:rRNA from 1 species
CGUAGGUGGCAAGCGUUGUCCGGAUUUAUUGGGUUUAAAGGGUGCGUAGGCGGCUUGAUAAGUUCAGUGGUGAAAGCCGAUCGCUUAACGAUCGAACUGCCAUUGAUACUGCCAGGCUUGAGUAUAGAUGAGGUAGGCGGAAUUGACAGUGUAGCGGUGAAAUGCAUAGAUAUUGUCAAGAACACCAAUUGCGAAGGCAGCUUACUAAGUUAUAACUGACGCUGAGGCACGAAAGUGCGGGGAUCGAAACAGGAUUAGAUACCCUGGUAGUCCGCACCGUAAACGAUGAUCACUCGCUGUGUGCGAUAAACAGUACGCGGCCAAGCGAAAGCGAUAAGUGAUCCACCUGGGGAUACGCCCGCAAGGGUG